CAAUAGCGUAUAUUUAAGUUGUUGCAGUUAAAAAGCCCGUAGUUGGAUUUCGGUUAAGAGCGACCGGUCCGCCGUUUGGUGUGCACUGGUUGGUUUUAACUUCCUGUAGAGGACGUGCUCUGGGUUUAACGACCUGGACUCGGAGUCUACGUGGUUACUUUGAAAAAAUUAGAGUGUUCAAAGCGGGCUUACGCUUGAAUAUUUCAGCAUGGAAUAACACUAUAGGACUCCUGUCCUAUUUCGUUGGUCUCGGGACGGGAGUAAUGAUUAAGAGGAACAGUUGGGGGCAUUCGUAUUUCAUUGUCAGAGGUGAAAUUCUUGGAUUUAUGAAAGACGAACUUCUGCGAAAGCAUUUGCCAAGGAUGUUUUCAUUAA
rnacentral:rRNA from 1 species